GUGCUCGCUUCGGCAGCACAUAUACUAAAAUUGGAACGAUACAGAGAGAAGAUUAGCAUGGCAUGCACAAGGAUGAGCUGCAAAUUCGUGAAGCAUUCUAUAUUUUU